CGGAUCCUUCGGGAUUAGUGGCGGACGGGUGAGUAACACGUGGGAACGUGCCCUUUGGUUCGGAACAACUCAGGGAAACUUGAGCUAAUACCGGAUGUGCCCUUCGGGGGAAAGAUUUAUCGCCAUUGGAGCGGCCCGCGUCUGAUUAGCUAGUUGGUGAGGUAAAGGCUCACCAAGGCUACGAUCAGUAGCUGGUCUGAGAGGAUGAUCAGCCACAUUGGGACUGAGACACGGCCCAAACUCCUACGGGAGGCAGCAGUGGGGAAUCUUGCGCAAUGGGCGAAAGCCUGACGCAGCCAUGCCGCGUGAAUGAUGAAGGUCUUAGGAUUGUAAAAUUCUUUCACCGGGGACGAUAAUGACGGUACCCGGAGAAGAAGCCCCGGCUAACUUCGUGCCAGCAGCCGCGGUAAUACGAAGGGGGCUAGCGUUGCUCGGAAUUACUGGGCGUAAAGGGAGCGUAGGCGGACUGUUUAGUCAGAGGUGAAAGCCCAGGGCUCAACCUUGGAAUUGCCUUUGAUACUGGCAGUCUUGAGUACGGAAGAGGUAUGUGGAACUCCGAGUGUAGAGGUGAAAUUCGUAGAUAUUCGGAAGAACACCAGUGGCGAAGGCGACAUACUGGUCCGUUACUGACGCUGAGGCUCGAAAGCGUGGGGAGCAAACAGGAUUAGAUACCCUGGUAGUCCACGCUGUAAACGAUGAGUGCUAGUUGUCGGCAGGCAUGCCUGUCGGUGACGCAGCUAACGCAUUAAGCACUCCGCCUGGGGAGUACGGUCGCAAGAUUAAAACUCAAAGGAAUUGACGGGGGCCCGCACAAGCGGUGGAGCAUGUGGUUUAAUUCGAAGCAACGCGCAGAACCUUACCACCUUUUGACAUGCCUGGACAUCCGGGAGAGAUCCGGCCUUCCCUUCGGGGACUGGGACACAGGUGCUGCAUGGCUGUCGUCAGCUCGUGUCGUGGAGAUGUUGGGGUUAAGUCCCGCAACGAGCGCAACCCUU
rnacentral:rRNA from 1 species